UGGAGGCGGAGGCAGAGCAGUGGUAGGCGCUGAGUUUGACGUCACCGAUGGUAGGCGGAGACUGGGCGUGACUGGGCGCGACUUCCGGAAGAAGGGCGCGCCCGCUUGCCGGUAGGAAAGAGAGACGAGAGGUAAGAAGAAGAGGUUCCAGGGAAGAAAACUGAGAACUGAUUGAGAAGUAUGAAGAGGAUGGAGUGCAGAAGAUGGGGAGAAGCAUGUUCAGUCGAGUGUGAUAAUCCCUAUUGCCCAAAGUGUCAGGAGUUGAGUCGGAGUAACUGAAGCUGACAAGUCUGUUGAUGAUAGGUAAUCUGGAGGAGGAAAGCAGUAUCAAGAUACAAGUCUGAGAAAACUCAGGUCUCAAGAAAUUGUGCCAUCAAAGGGAGAAGAGAACUGUGGCAGCAAGUAAAAUCUUUUAUGAAGAUUGAUGGUGAAGGCUAAUUGAAAAUGCCAGUGUUGGAACCCCACCCCCCUCCUCCUUCCCAUUCAUCCUGAGCCCAAGAGAUCUCCAUAAAAUUGACCUGGAUGCCUUUCAUUCAAGUCGCUUCAGUCAUGUCCGACUCUGUGUGACCCCAGAGACGACAGCCCACCAGGCUCCCCCAUCCCUGGGAUUCUCCAGGCAAGAACACUGGAGUGGGUUGCCAUUUCCUUCUCCAAUGCAUGAAAGUGAAAAGUGAAAGUGAAGUUGCUCAGUCAUGUCCGACUCUUAGCGACCCCAUGGACUGCAGCCUACCAGGCUCCUCCGUCCAUGGGAUUUUCCAGGCUUGAGGAAGGAAGCUGCUGUAUUUUGAGAAAAGAGAAUCAUAUGGCUAGGACCUGACGGUGACCUCUAGGAGUGGAAAGCGAUUCCUUGCUGAUGGCAGCAGGAAAUCAAGGACAUCAGUCAUACGGUUGCAAGGUGAUAACUUCUGCCAGCAAUUACAGAGUUCUGAAGAGAACUACAAACCUCAUAUGUGACUACAACUGUGACUUACACCCAUAUUUCUAUAUUUCAACUUGGUGAGAUCCUGAACAGAGCAUCUGGCUAACCCAGACUCUGACCCACAGAAAACUGAGAGUCUAGGCUUCCCUUGUGGCUCAGCUGGUAAAGAAUCUGCCUGCAAUGCGGGAGACCUGCAUUCGAUCCCUGGAUUGGGAAGACCCCUUGAAGAAGGGAAAGGCUACCCAUGUUAGUAUUCUGGCCUGGAGAAUUCCAAUGGACUUUACAGUCCAUGGGGUUGCAAAGAGUUGGACAUGACUGAGCAACUUUCACUUUCAUUCUAGUUUACUAUGAAAUGAAACAUUCUGAAAUUAUUUUCACGUUCAGUUUAUCCUGAACUACUCUUUUGCUAUAUCAAUUUAUCUAGGGAAAGACAGUCUCAUUUGUGAGUUUUUUAAGUUCAAGUUAACUAUUGGUUUGCAUAAUCCCGUCUAGUCAAGGCUAUGGUUUUUCCUGUGGUCAUGUAUGGAUGUGAGAAUUGGACUGUGAAGAAGGCUGAGCACCGAAGAACUGAUGCUUUUGAACUGUGGUGUUGGAGAAGACUCUUGAGAGUCCCUUGGACUGCAAGGAGAUCCAACCAGUCCAUUCUGAAGGAGAUCAGCCCUGGGAUUUCUUUGGAGGGAAUUAUGCUGAAGCUGAAACUCCAGUACUUUGGCCACCUCAUGUGAAGAGUUGACUCAUUGGAAAAGACUCUGAUGCUGGGAGGGAUUGGGGGCGGGAGGAGAAGGGGACGACAGAGGAUGAGAUGGCUGGAUGGCAUCACUGACUCGAUGGAUGUGAGUCUGAGUGAACUCCGGGAGUUGGUGAUGGACAGGGAGGCCUGGCGUGCUGUAAUUCAUGGGGUUGCGAAGAGUCGGACACGACUGAGCGACUGAACUGAACUGAACCUCAUAUUUUUUGUAUGCUUAAGUUAAAAAAAUAAAAUAGAUUAUUUUUGUUAAGGAUAGUAGGCUACUGACUAGGUUUGCUCUGUGUUUGUGUGUGUGUGUGUGUGUGUGUGUGUGUGUGUGUAUUAGUGGUGUGUGUGUGUAUCAAGGAAACCAAGGGAAGAGCUUGGGUAUUUCCUCUAGACUUAUAAGAAGUAGGAUGCCUGACUUUCAGAAUAGUGGGAAAUAGAAUGUCUGUGUUAGCUGGAAUUCAUUAUGGAUGCAUUAAAGUCAGGAAAGAGGUCAAUUUAUAUGGAAUGACCAUUUCGCAUUAGUAAACUACAAAGUUAUUGAUUGCUACUGAUUCCAAGGGUAGUUGUGUGAUUAUGCUAAUAAAUUUGUAUCUACUGCUUACCUUAAGGUAAUUUACCG
ensembl:lncRNA